rnacentral:lncRNA from 1 species
UGCCAUGGUAUAUUAAAUGCAUUAGCUUAUCAGACUAAUAAAUACUCUUCGAAAUUGUAUAAGACUUUGACUUGCAUCUUGCCUAAGAUAGACCUUAGAGAGGGCUCAUCUCCAUUAUAGGCCAGGUCAAAUGAGGACGACACAAAAAUCUGGAGCCAUACCUCACCCAACCCAAGUCAGCAUCGGGUAAAGACUCAAUUCAUAUAUUCGCCCAUGGGUCAUGUUGAGUCACCCA